rnacentral:rRNA from 1 species
AUUGAACGCUGGCGGCAGGCUUAACACAUGCAAGUCGAGCGGAGAUGAGGUGCUUGCACCUUAUCUUAGCGGCGGACGGGUGAGUAAUGCUUAGGAAUCUGCCUAUUAGUGGGGGACAACAUUCCGAAAGGAAUGCUAAUACCGCAUACGUCCUACGGGAGAAAGCAGGGGAUAUUCGGACCUUGCGCUAAUAGAUGAGCCUAGGUCGGAUUAGCUAGUUGGUGGGGUAAAGGCCUACCAAGGCGACGAUCGGUAGCGAGUCUGAGAGGAUGAGCCGCCACACUGGGACUGAGACACGGCCCAGACUCCUACGGGAGGCAGCAGUGGGGAAUAUUGGACAAUGGGGGGAACCCUGAUCCAGCCAUGCCGCGUGUGUGAAGAAGGCCUUAUGGUUGUAAAGCACUUUAAGCGAGGAGGAGGCUACUGAGACUAAUACUCUUGGAUAGUGGACGUUACUCGCAGAAUAAGCACCGGCUAACUCUGUGCCAGCAGCCGCCGUAAAAC